rnacentral:rRNA from 1 species
UACGUAGGGGGCGAGCGUUGUCCGGAUUUACUGGGCGUAAAGAGCGCGUAGGCGGAAGUUUAAGCGUGGCCUGAAAGCCCCCGGCUCAACCGGGGAGUGCGGCUGCGAACUGGAUUUCUUGAGGACGAUAGAGGAGAGUGGAAUUCCUGGUGUAGCGGUGAAAUGCGUAGACUAUCGAGGAGGAACACCCGAGGCGAAGGCGGCUCUCUGGGUCGUACCUGACGCUGAGGCGCGAAAGCGUGGGGAGCGAACGGG